rnacentral:rRNA from 1 species
AGUCUGGUGCCAGCAGCCGCGGUAAUUCCAGCUCCAAUAGCGUAUAUUAAAGUUGUUGCAGUUAAAAAGCUCGUAGUUGAACCUUGGGCCUGGUUGGUCGGUCCGCCUCACCGCGUGCACUGAUCCGACCGGGUCUUUCCUUCUGGGGAGCCGCAUGCCCUUCACUGGGUGUGUCGGGGAACCAGGACUUUUACUUUGAAAAAAUUAGAGUGUUCAAAGCAGGCCUAUGCUCGAAUACAUUAGCAUGGAAUAAUAGAAUAGGACGUGUGGUUCUAUUUUGUUGGUUUCUAGGACCGCCGUAAUGAUUAAUAGGGAUAGUCGGGGGCAUCAGUAUUCCGUUGUCAGAGGUGAAAUUCUUGGAUUUACGGAAGACUAACUACUGCGAAAGCAUUUGCCAAGGAUGUUUUCAUUAAUCAGUGAACGAAAGUUAGGGGAUCGAAGACGAUCAGAUACCGUCGUAGUCUUAACCAUAAACUAUGCCGACUAGGGAUCGGGCGAUGUUAUCUUUUUGACUCGCUCGGCACCUUACGAGAAAUCAAAGUCUUUGGGUUCUGGGGGGAGUAUG